rnacentral:rRNA from 1 species
AUACGGAGGAUCCGAGCGUUAUCCGGAUUUAUUAGGUUUAAAGGGUGCGCAGGCGGAACUGUAAGUCACCGGUGAAAUCCUACAGCUUAACUGUAGAACUGCCGGUGAUACUGCGAUUCUUGAGUAUAGUUGAGGUAGGCGGAAUGUGUAGUGUAGCGGUGAAAUGCAUAGAUAUUACACAGAACCCCGAUUGCGAAGGCAGCUUACUAAACUAUUACUGACGCUCAUGCACGAAAGCGUGGGGAGCGAACAGGAUUAGAAACCCCAGUAGUCC